rnacentral:rRNA from 1 species
UGGGGUAUAUUGCACAAUGGAGGGAACUCUGAUGCAGCGACGCCGCGUGAAAGAAGAAGGCUUUCGAGUCGUAAUGUUCUUUUAUAUGGGAAGAUAAUGACGUUACCAUAAGAAAAAGCCCCGGCUAACUACGUGCCAGCAGCCGCGGUAAUACGUAGGGGGCUAGCGUUGUCCGGAAUCACUGGGCGUAAAGGGUUCGCAGGCGGAAAUGCAAGUCAGGUGUAAAAGGAAGUAGCUUAACUACUGUAAGCAUUUGAAACUGCAUAUCUUGAGAAGAGUAGAGGUAAGUAGAAUUAUUAGUGUAGCGGUGAAAUGCGUAGAUAUUAAAAAGAAUACCGGUGGCGAAGGCGACUUACUGGGCUCAUUCUGACGCUGAGGAACGAAAGCGUGGGUAGCAAACAGG